rnacentral:rRNA from 1 species
GCGAACGCUGGCGGCAGGCCUAACACAUGCAAGUCGAGCGCCCAGCAAUGGGAGCGGCAGACGGGAGAGUAACACGUGGGAACAUGCCCUUCAGUACGGAACAACCAAGGGAAACUUUGGCUAAUGCCGUAUACGCCCGUAAGGGGAAAGAUUUAUCGCUGAAGGAUUGGCCCGCGUCUGAUUAGCUAGUUGGUGGGGUAAUGGCCCACCAAGGCGACGAUCAGUAGCUGGUCUGAGAGGAUGAUCAGCCUCACUGGGACUGAGACACGGCCCAGACUCCUACGGGAGGCAGCAGUGGGGAAUAUUGGACAAUGGGGGCAACCCUGAUCCAGCAAUGCCGCGUGGGUGAUGAAGGCCUUCGGGUUGUAAAGCCCUUUCGGCGGGGACGAUGAUGACGGUACCCGCAGAAGAAGCCCCGGCUAACUUCGU